GGUAGAGCACUGAAUGGCCUAGGGCGGCAUACCGUACCAAAGCCUAUCAAACUCCGAAUGCCAAAAAAUCAGGUCAUGGAGUCAGACUUAGAGGGAUAAGCUCCUAAGUCGAAAGGGAAAGAGCCCAGACCGACAGCUAAGGUCCCCAAAUCUGGAUUAAGUGGAAAAGGAUGUGAACCUACUAAGACAACCAGGACGUUGGCUUAGAAGCAGCCAUACAUUCAAAGAAUGCGUAAUAGCUCACUGGUCAAGUGGGUUUGCGCCGAAAAUAAACGGGGCUAAAAUCCAGUACCGAAGCUUCG
rnacentral:rRNA from 1 species